UACGGGGGGGGCAAGCGUUGUUCGGAAUUACUGGGCGUAAAGGGCUCGUAGGCGGCCAACUAAGUCAUACGUGAAAUCCCUCGGCUUAACCGGGGAACUGCGUCUGAUACUGGAUGGCUUGAGUGUGGGAGAGGGAUGCGGAAUUCCAGGUGUAGCGGUGAAAUGCGUAGAUAUCUGGAGGAACACCGGUGGCGAAGGCGGCAUCCUGGACCACGACUGACGCUGAGUGAGCGAAAGCCAGGGGAGCAAACGGG
rnacentral:rRNA from 1 species